rnacentral:rRNA from 1 species
AUUGAACGCUGGCGGCAUGCCUUACACAUGCAAGUCGAACGGUAACAGGUCUUCGGAUGCUGACGAGUGGCGAACGGGUGAGUAAUACAUCGGAACGCGCCCGAGAGUGGGGGAUAACGAGGCGAAAGCUUUGCUAAUACCGCAUACGAUCUCAGGAUGAAAGCAGGGGACCGCAAGGCCUUGCGCUCACGGAGCGGCCGAUGGCAGAUUAGGUAGUUGGUGGGAUAAAAGCUUACCAAGCCGACGAUCUGUAGCUGGUCUGAGAGGACGACCAGCCACACUGGGACUGAGACACGGCCCAGACUCCUACGGGAGGCAGCAGUGGGGAAUUUUGGACAAUGGGCGCAAGCCUGAUCCAGCCAUGCCGCGUGCAGGAUGAAGGCCUUCGGGUUGUAAACUGCUAUUGUACGGAACGAAAAGACUCUGGUUAAUACCUGGGGUCCAUGACGGUACCGUAAGAAUAAGCACCGGCUAACUACGUGCCAGCAGCCGCCGUAACAC